CGCCCCUCCGCCAAUGGAAAGCCCGCCUCGGCGAUUGGCAUCCUGAUCAACCAAUAAUAACAUCCAGCGGCUUCGCAGGGGGAUGGGGAGCGCCAGUGGGAAGAGCCCUCCCGGGGACGUCCCUUAGGACAAAUAUUUCACUUGGAGUUGUUGCCUGGAGUUUGUCCCAGGGGAAUGUUGGCUUCAGAGACUCCAGGGGCCUGCUCUUGCCGCUGGGUACAGCAGGGCUUUGAGAUGAAGGCAGGUUGCACUAAGCGAUGCGGCUGAGACUACAUUUCCCAGCAGUCCAGGGGUACUCCCGGGAACCACAGAUCCCGGCACGCAACAAAGAGGCCCAGGGACUACAAAUCCCAGCAUUCCCUGCACCCCGUUCGUCUGUAUGCCCCUCUUAGGGUUUGCAAAUUCAUAAAUUCGCCGUCAGGACUCUCUGGUUUUGGAAUCGGAGACUGUAGACCAGGCAGGAAGACCCUCUUCCCCUUGAAAUGAAAAUGACAGCCCACAAAGAACUAACUUCUCUUUACGUGAAACUCAGCAUUCUCCUGCAAAUCACGUAGGCUACCUGUCCAAAUUCAGGGCAUCGGUUCCAGGGGAAGCCUCUCUCCCUGUCGGCUCUGGAGGAAGGCCCUUCUCAUCAAUCUUCCCCUGGACUAGGAGCUUCUCCAUGCAGGAACCCUGGGUCCAAAGGCCACAUUCUGAUCCUGGUGCUGCUUUCUUGGUGAUUCUUCAAUGAUUUCAUCACAAUUAAGCUGCUGAACAAUAUCUACUUCCAUACAUAAUAAGAAUAAUGAAUCGUGCCUUUCUUGAACCAUUGUUGUAUGCUGAGGGGUUUUGAGUCUCUUUAAGGAUGAAAAUGAGCAUUCUGUUGUACAGUUUGGGAUCAUUAAAGUUAGGAAUAUGUGUAAAGAAUUUUCAACAUUGGCAAAUAUGCAUUGUAUUUUAUCUUCUAUUAUGGAAUCAUACAUGCCUACGUGAGUAAAAUUUGUCUUUCCCGAAUCUGUAAACUUAGUUCUCAUGUAAGAAUGAGAUUGUCAUGCUUCUCUGUAAAGGUUUGUAUUUUAGUCAUUGGGAUAAGCCUGCAUUAAUUUCUUGGAUGCCUCCAUGCAUUCUUCCUCAGGUAUAUCCAUGUUGUUUAAGAAGAAAAAUCUAUUUGAAAGAACUUCCUAUACUUUCACCCUUCUUUUCUUGCAAGAUUCAAGUUUGUCAAUGAUGGUGUAGUGUGUGGUCACAUGAAAUUGAUCUCUGGCACUCAACAAUAUUUUGGAACACUUCCAUCAUUUAUUUGUUUCUUGCUAAUGCUUCUGCAACAGUGAACUGCUUGAUAAUCAAUAUUCAGUAGGAUUUGUUUUGUUGUGUUGUCAAAAUUUUCUCUUAAAUUACGUAAAUUCCCUGUUAAUGACUGGUAGAGAGCUGUGCGUGUCUUUAAAUUUACUUCUAAAUCUUGGAGAGCUUGACUUGUCCAAUGAAAAUGAUGCAAUAUAUUAGUCCACAUAACCAACAUAAAUACAUACUCUAGCAUUUGCAUUUUAUUGGCGAUGUUUUCAGUUUCUCUUUUGGUACCUCCUUUUUGUGUCUGGUCUUCAGCAAUAUUUUCUAAGACAUCUAGAAUCUGAGUGUAUGAUUCCUAGGUCAAUGAAUCCAGGCUAUGGGAGAAACAGCAGCAUAUAUGGGAUGCUAGUUUAGAGCAUGUACAGCUUCCUGGAGAACAUUGCCCCAACCCUGCAAGGUAUUGCCACCUAGCUGGCACCGUAAUUGUGUGUUUAGAAGGCCAUUCAACCAUUCUAUCAAACCAGCUGCUUCAGGAUGAUGGGGGAACAUUAUAAGACCAGUGAAUUCCAUGAGCAUGGGCCCACUGCCACACUUCAUUAGCUGUGAAGUGAGUCCUUUGAUCCAAGGCGAUGUUUUGUGGGGUACCAUGAUAGUGGAUAAGUUUUCUGUAAGUCACUGGUGGUAGUUUUGGCAGAAGCUUUACAUGCAGGGAAGGCAAAUUCAUAUCCAGAGUAAGUGUCUAUUCCAAUAAGAACGAAGCGCUGCCCUUUCCAUGAUGGAAGCGGCCCAAUGUAAUCAACCUGCCCCCAGAUCACCAGGAGGAAUGAUGCCGCACCGAAGACUCAGUGUUGGUCUCUGCUACUGGCAAAUUGGGUACUGUGGUGUGAUGGAUCUCUUUUGUGUGGCCUUUUUCGCCAUGGUCUGGUAACUCCCACCUAAGUGAUUGGGUGGGAUUGUGGAAGUAGGGUAAUUGUGGCCCACCAAGGGGAUCGGUCAGUUUUGCCAUCCCACUGGGCUUGAAAUGAGCCAUCCCAGAAGCAGGAAGGAGAGGAUCCCACCACCACCAGUAAAGAACAGUCAAGAGCGGAGUAUGUCCUUUGAACCUGGAAUUCCUGCACUGAGAAGUUCCUGGAACUAGGAGACUGACUUCGAGAAGUCACUAACACUGAAGUCAGCAAGAAGUGGUGGCAGAGAAGUGGCAACAGGAGAGAUUGGCAGGAGACAGUGUGGUGGGCUUCCCAGCCUACAGAGCAAGAAAGCUGGCUUGCUGGUGGAGUGGAGUGCUUCUAGGCACUUACCAGCAGAGCUAAAAGAGCUUUGUAACACUUGCCUGAGCAGGGCAGAGGCCGAGGGCCAGGCAGAGGCCUGCCUGAGAGCACAGCUAGGAAGAGGCUGCCCUGACCAAAGAACCGUAUCCUGAGCAUUCCUGAACCUGAACUGUAACCUGUUACUUCCCUAAUAAACCCCAUAAUCGAGAGUAUUGUCUGUGAGUUCUGUGUGGCCGUUGCAGUGAAUUAUCAAACCCAGUAGAGAAGUAGAGACUGCUGUGGGAGGGACAACUGGUGUCAGAAUUGGUAAAGAUGGUGGAGAGAAGGGUCAUGUCUGACCUCUGCCUCAUGGGAAUCAGUCUUGGGCUGUUGAUCUUUAUUUUUCUUCUUCCUUGUGAAGUUAGAGGAGGUCAGACACUGCCCCUGUACCAUUUGUACAGGCACUCAGUAGUGGCUGUAUCCAAGUCAACCUAGGUGAGUGGAAGUCCAUGUUGCUGAGCCCAUGCAUAACCUCCAUCCCUGCUACCAUGGCCACUUUGUUCAUGAGUCCAUUGGGCAAUGACGGGAGUGUCUGGGGAAAGAAGAUAACUGGUUUCCAUGGAAUGCGUCAUUCUAUCCACUUGAUAAAAUCCUCCUCUGCUGAGUUCACCCUUUGAUGAGCAUUCACAUGAGACACAAAUAUCUUGACUUCUUUGGCCCACUUAGAGAGGUCUAGCCACAUACCUCUGCCCUAUACCUCCUUGUAAAAACAGCUUGGGGGCACUGUCUGACCUCCUCUUACUUCACAAGGGGAAAGGAGAAUCAAGAUUAACAGCCCAAGGCUGAUUCCCAUGAGGUGGAGGUCAGACAUGCCUCCUCUCUCUGCCAUCUUUAUUAAUUCUGACACCAGCCAUCCCUCCCAUGGCACUCUUUACUGGGUGGCACUCUUUACUGGGUGGCACUCUCUACUGGGUUUGAUAAUUUAUUGCGAUAGCCACAAAGCACUCACAGACCAUACUCACAAUUAUGGAGUUUAUUAGGGAAGCAACAGUUACAAUUCAGGCUCAAGAAUACUCAGGAUACAGUUUUUCCAUCAGGAUAGCCUCUCUGCAGCUGUGUUCACAGGCAUGCCUCUCCUUGGCCCUCAGUCUCUGCUUAAAGGCACUUGGCUUUCUCUCACCAUGGGCCAGGAAGCCUACCACGCCAU